GGCUCCAUGGCUCAGUGCCAGGGCGCCUGUCUAGUAAACAGGAGAACGUGGGUUCGAUCCAAAAUGGAGCCU
rnacentral:tRNA from 1 species